ACACAGACAGCUGGAUCUCCAGUGCCUGCAUGCCGGCAGGCCACCGGUAGAAGCCGAAUGAUGCAGAGUUUGGCUGAGGCAGAAGCAGAACGAUGCAGAGUUUGGCUGAGGCAGUCUGAGGAGAGCCCAGGCUGCUGAGCCGCUGAGUGGCCUGACUCCAGGGAAAAAUCUUCCUGCUCCAUCCCCUUCUGACUUCCCUCAUAUGCUGAGAGCUACCUCGACUCAACAAAACCUUGCACUCAUUCUCCAAGCCCAGGUGUGAUCCGAUUCUUCUGGUACUCCAAGGCAAGAACCCGGGAUACAGAAAGCUCUCUGUCCUUGCGACAAGGUAGAGGGUCUAAUGGAGCUAACAUAAGCGCCUAUAGACAGCAAACUAAGAAAGCACCCUGUAGCACAUGCCCACGGGGCUUCAGGAGCUGUAAACAUUCAUCUAGACACUGCUGUAGGGUCGGCGCCCCACAGCCUGCCCGCCUGUAGGCUCCCCUAGAGAUUUGAGCAGCGGGGCACUGAAGAAGCAAGCCACUCCCCCAUCGCACGCCCUGCGAGGGGAACAAGGGAACUUCCCCUUUCACAGGCACUGCAGGUGGUAGCACCGGCCAUGGGCACCUGACCCAGAGGGUUGAACAGUUGCUGCAAAGUUCUGUCCGUUACAAAUCAUCUAUACAAAACGAGGAGCAGCCCAGGCAGGCAGAAAAUAUCAGAGUGAGAACAUAAGAUGUAGGGAGACUGAGGUUGACCAAGGGACAGGGCACAAGGAAUGCUGUAGUGAUUGGGUGUGUCAGGUUGCAGCAGCAGUGGUGUAGCUGAAUCACACUGGAGAUAGAGCCUGAGCCAGAUGCAGUGGGGACCUCCUGCUUGGGGGCUGUGACCGCGUUGCCUGCACACCCCUGAGCUGCAGCACCACCAGGCUACUGCCAACUCAAGGCCACUGCAUAGGGGUUGCCAUUUCCUUUUUCCUCUCCUGUAUCUUAAUAAUAAAAGGUACCACGUGGGACA
rnacentral:lncRNA from 1 species